rnacentral:rRNA from 1 species
GGGGAAUAUUGGACAAUGGGGGCAACCCUGAUCCAGCAAUGCCGCGUGUGUGAAGAAGGUCUUCGGAUUGUAAAGCACUUUCGACGGGGACGAUGAUGACGGUACCCGUAGAAGAAGCCCCGGCUAACUUCGUGCCAGCAGCCGCGGUAAUACGAAGGGGGCUAGCGUUGCUCGGAAUGACUGGGCGUAAAGGGCGUGUAGGCGGUUUACACAGUCAGAUGUGAAAUCCCCGGGCUUAACCUGGGAGCUGCAUUUGAUACGUGUAGACUAGAGUGUGAGAGAGGGUUGUGGGAAUUCCCGUGUAGAG